rnacentral:snRNA from 1 species
AUAUUUACCUGACGCGAGAGGCACCUUGAUCAACUAGGAGGUCCUCUCAGGAUGAGGCCCUUUCAUUGCACUUCGACUGGGUUGACUCCUGCGAUUACCCCUAAUGUGGGUAACUCGAGCGUAUAAUUUCUGGUAGUGGGGACCUGCGUUCGCGCUCGUCCCCU